GAUGAACGCUGGCGGCGUGCUUAACACAUGCAAGUCGAACGAUGAAGCCUAGCUUGCUGGGUGGAUUAGUGGCGAACGGGUGAGUAACACGUGAGCAACCUGCCCCUGACUCUGGGAUAAGCGCUGGAAACGGCGUCUAAUACUGGAUACGAACAAGAAUCGCAUGGUUACUUGUUGGAAAGAUUUUUCGGUUGGGGAUGGGCUCGCGGCCUAUCAGCUUGUUGGUGAGGUAAUGGCUCACCAAGGCGUCGACGGGUAGCCGGCCUGAGAGGGUGACCGGCCACACUGGGACUGAGACACGGCCCAGACUCCUACGGGAGGCAGCAGUGGGGAAUAUUGCACAAUGGGCGCAAGCCUGAUGCAGCAACGCCGCGUGAGGGAUGACGGCCUUCGGGUUGUAAACCUCUUUUAGCAGGGAAGAAGCGAGAGUGACGGUACCUGCAGAAAAAGCACCGGCUAACUACGUGCCAGCAGCCGCGGUAAUACGUAGGGUGCAAGCGUUAUCCGGAAUUAUUGGGCGUAAAGAGCUCGUAGGCGGUUUGUCGCGUCUGCUGUGAAAUCUGGGGGCUCAACCCCCAGCCUGCAGUGGGUACGGGCAGACUAGAGUGCGGUAGGGGAGAUUGGAAUUCCUGGUGUAGCGGUGGAAUGCGCAGAUAUCAGGAGGAACACCGAUGGCGAAGGCAGAUCUCUGGGCCGUAACUGACGCUGAGGAGCGAAAGGGUGGGGAGCAAACAGGCUUAGAUACCCUGGUAGUCCACCCCGUAAACGUUGGGAACUAGUUGUGGGGUCCAUUCCACGGAUUCCGUGACGCAGCUAACGCAUUAAGUUCCCCGCCUGGGGAGUACGGCCGCAAGGCUAAAACUCAAAGGAAUUGACGGGGACCCGCACAAGCGGCGGAGCAUGCGGAUUAAUUCGAUGCAACGCGAAGAACCUUACCAAGGCUUGACAUAUACGAGAACGGGCCAGAAAUGGUCAACUCUUUGGACACUCGUAAACAGGUGGUGCAUGGUUGUCGUCAGCUCGUGUCGUGAGAUGUUGGGUUAAGUCCCGCAACGAGCGCAACCCUCGUUCUAUGUUGCCAGCACGUAAUGGUGGGAACUCAUGGGAUACUGCCGGGGUCAACUCGGAGGAAGGUGGGGAUGACGUCAAAUCAUCAUGCCCCUUAUGUCUUGGGCUUCACGCAUGCUACAAUGGCCGGUACAAUGGGCUGCAAUACCGUGAGGUGGAGCGAAUCCCAAAAAGCCGGUCCCAGUUCGGAUUGAGGUCUGCAACUCGACCUCAUGAAGUCGGAGUCGCUAGUAAUCGCAGAUCAGCAACGCUGCGGUGAAUACGUUCCCGGGUCUUGUACACACCGCCCGUCAAGUCAUGAAAGUCGGUAACACCUGAAGCCGGUGGCCUAACCCCUUGUGGGAGGGAGCUGUCGAAGGUGGGAUCGGUAAUUAGGACUAAG
rnacentral:rRNA from 1 species